GAAAUGCGAUAAUUAAUGUGAAUUGCAGAAUUCAGUGAAUCAUCGAGUCUUUGAACGCACAUUGCGCCCCCUGUUAUUCCGGGGGGCAUGCCUGUCCGAGCGUCAUUGCUGCCCUCAAGCACGGCUUGUGUGUUGGGCUUCCGUCCCUGGCAACGGGGACGGGCCCAAAAGGCAGUGGCGGCACCAUGUCUGGUCCUCGAGCGUAUGGGGCUUUGUCACCCGCUCCCGUAGGUCCAGCUGGCAGCUAGCCUCGCAACCAAUCUUUUUAACCAGGUUGACCUCGGAUCAGGUAGGGAUACCCGCUGAACUUAAGC
rnacentral:misc_RNA from 1 species